ACGGCCACAUUUUGUUGUAACACCAAUUCCCGUAGGAUCACCGAAGUUAAGCAACGUCGGGCCUGAUCAGUACCUAGAUGGGUGAAAGCCUGGAAAUACCAGGUGUU